GAUGAACGCUGGCGGCGUGCCUAAUACAUGCAAGUCGAGCGAACGGACGAGAAGCUUGCUUCUCUGAUGUUAGCGGCGGACGGGUGAGUAACACGUGGAUAACCUACCUAUAAGACUGGGAUAACUUCGGGAAACCGGAGCUAAUACCGGAUAAUAUUUUGAACCGCAUGGUUCAAAAGUGAAAGACGGUCUUGCUGUCACUUAUAGAUGGAUCCGCGCUGCAUUAGCUAGUUGGUAAGGUAACGGCUUACCAAGGCAACGAUGCAUAGCCGACCUGAGAGGGUGAUCGGCCACACUGGAACUGAGACACGGUCCAGACUCCUACGGGAGGCAGCAGUAGGGAAUCUUCCGCAAUGGGCGAAAGCCUGACGGAGCAACGCCGCGUGAGUGAUGAAGGUCUUCGGAUCGUAAAACUCUGUUAUUAGGGAAGAACAUAUGUGUAAGUAACUGUGCACAUCUUGACGGUACCUAAUCAGAAAGCCACGGCUAACUACGUGCCAGCAGCCGCGGUAAUACGUAGGUGGCAAGCGUUAUCCGGAAUUAUUGGGCGUAAAGCGCGCGUAGGCGGUUUUUUAGUCUGAUGUGAAAGCCCACGGCUCAACCGUGGAGGGUCAUUGGAAACUGGAAAACUUGAGUGCAGAAGAGGAAAGUGGAAUUCCAUGUGUAGCGGUGAAAUGCGCAGAGAUAUGGAGGAACACCAGUGGCGAAGGCGACUUUCUGGUCUGUAACUGACGCUGAUGUGCGAAAGCGUGGGGAUCAAACAGGAUUAGGUACCCAGGUAGUCCACGCCGUAAACGAUGAGUGCUAAGUGUUAGGGGGUUUCCGCCCCUUAGUGCUGCAGCUAACGCAUUAAGCACUCCGCCUGGGGAGUACGACCGCAAGGUUGAAACUCAAAGGAAUUGACGGGGACCCGCACAAGCGGUGGAGCAUGUGGUUUAAUUCGAAGCAACGCGAAGAACCUUACCAAAUCUUGACAUCCUUUGACAACUCUAGAGAUAGAGCUUUCCCCUUCGGGGGACAAAGUGACAGGUGGUGCAUGGUUGUCGUCAGCUCGUGUCGUGAGAUGUUGAGUUAAGUCCCGCAACGAGCGCAACCCUUAAGCUUAGUUGCCAUCAUUAAGUUGGGCACUCUAAGUUGACUGCCGGUGACAAACCGGAGGAAGGUGGGGAUGACGUCAAAUCAUCAUGCCCCUUAUGAUUUGGGCUACACACGUGCUACAAUGGACAAUACAAAGGGCAGCGAAACCGCGAGGUCAAGCAAAUCCCAUAAAGUUGUUCUCAGUUCGGAUUGUAGUCUGCAACUCGACUACAUGAAGCUGGAAUCGCUAGUAAUCGUAGAUCAGCAUGCUACGGUGAAUACGUUCCCGGGUCU
rnacentral:rRNA from 1 species